rnacentral:rRNA from 1 species
GACAGAGGUGCCGAGCGUUAGGCGGAAUCACUGGGCUUAAAGCGUGUGUAGGCGGACCGUUAAGUGUCUUGUGAAAUCCCACGGCUCAACCGUGGAACGGCUGGGCAUACUGGCGGUCUUGAGAGACCUAGGGGCGAGCGGAACAGGCGGUGGAGCGGUGAAAUGCGUAGAUAUCGCCUGGAACGCCGACGGUGAAAACAGCUCGCUGGGGGUCUUCUGACGCUGAGACACGAAAGCCAGGGGAGCGAUCGGG